UACGUAGGUGGCAAGCGUUGUCCGGAUUUACUGGGCGUAAAGGGCGUGCAGGCGGUUUGUUAAGUGCAGGGUGAAAGCUCCCGGCUCAACUGGGAGAGGUCCUUGCAUACUGGCGAACUCGAGGGAGGCAGAGGAAAGUGGAAUUCCCGGUGUAGUGGUGAUAUGCGUAGAUAUCGGGAGGAACACCUGUGGCGAAGGCGGCUUUCUGGGCCUUACCUGACGCUGAGGCGCGAAAGCGUGGGGAGCAAACAGG
rnacentral:rRNA from 1 species